GCCAGCGCUAAACGCCGCUGGGCAGCCAAGCUUCCCACACACAGUCCCCCCCACCGAAAAGGCGAACCUACACGUCCCCCGCAGCGUCAGCACGUCGCCGUGACGUCAGCCCGCCGCCGCUGCGAUAUAAAAGGGGCCAGAGGCGCCACCGAGGCUGUAGUGGAAACGUACCUGUGCUCCGCAGCCUUCGGUCAGUUAUAAGAAAGCGGGACGCAGCGGGCAAUGCAGUGGGUCAAGACUAGGAAGUAAGGCAAAGGACGCGAGGCGGGAAGCAGGCGAAUUCCUAGAACUGCUUACGGUGGAAGAGUGCCCGCUACCGUGCGAGCGGAAUAGCGGAGAGUUUGUUUUACAAAAGGAUCAACAGUUGUGUGUAGUGACCGAAAAGCUUAACUGAACUCAACCAGAAGGAUAAUAAGACUAAUUCCGAAUUUUCUGACGCUUGGACUGAAGUGGCCUGCUUUUGCUUUUUAAAGGGGAGAUUUGAAAAAGUGAAGGGAACUGGAAGAAACGUCGUUUUAAAUGUAUGGUAUUGCCGUUUUAGCUGAGAUCCUUACGUGGGCCUCGGGUUUUGGCAAUCAGAUGGUGUGUGUCCUCCAAGAUGCCUUCAAGGUCUCAAAGUCUUUCAUAUCUGCGCUGCAGCCAGCUGGUGUGGGUUAUAAGCUGAACAGGCAAGGCAAGAUUGUAUUUGGAAAAAUAAAAAAAAACUUUAUUCAA